GGGGAUAACACCUGGAAACAGAUGCUAAUACCGCAUAACAACUUGGACCGCAUGGUCCGAGCUUGAAAGAUGGCUUCGGCUAUCACUUUUGGAUGGUCCCGCGGCGUAUUAGCUAGAUGGUGAGGUAACGGCUCACCAUGGCAAUGAUACGUAGCCGACCUGAGAGGGUAAUCGGCCACAUUGGGACUGAGACACGGCCCAAACUCCUACGGGAGGCAGCAGUAGGGAAUCUUCCACAAUGGACGAAAGUCUGAUGGAGCAACGCCGCGUGAGUGAAGAAGGGUUUCGGCUCGUAAAACUCUGUUGUUAAAGAAGAACAUAUCUGAGAGUAACUGUUCAGGUAUUGACGGUAUUUAACCAGAAAGCCACGGCUAACUACGUGCCAGCAGCCGCGGUAAUACGUAGGUGGCAAGCGUUGUCCGGAUUUAUUGGGCGUAAAGCGAGCGCAGGCGGUUUUUUAAGUCUGAUGUGAAAGCCUUCGGCUCAACCGAAGAAGUGCAUCGGAAACUGGGAAACUUGAGUGCAGAAGAGGACAGUGGAACUCCAUGUGUAGCGGUGAAAUGCGUAGAUAUAUGGAAGAACACCAGUGGCGAAGGCGGCUGUCUGGUCUGUAACUGACGCUGAGGCUCGAAAGUAUGGGUAGCAAACAGGAUUAGAUACCCUGGUAGUCCAUACCGUAAACGAUGAAUGCUAAGUGUUGGAGGGUUUCCGCCCUUCAGUGCUGCAGCUAACGCAUUAAGCAUUCCGCCUGGGGAGUACGGCCGCAAGGCUGAAACUCAAAGGAAUUGACGGGGGCCCGCACAAGCGGUGGAGCAUGUGGUUUAAUUCGAAGCUACGCGAAGAACCUUACCAGGUCUUGACAUACUAUGCAAAUCUAAGAGAUUAGACGUUCCCUUCGGGGACAUGGAUACAGGUGGUGCAUGGUUGUCGUCAGCUCGUGUCGUGAGAUGUUGGGUUAAGUCCCGCAACGAGCGCAACCCUUAUUAUCAGUUGCCAGCAUUAAGUUGGGCACUCUGGUGAGACUGCCGGUGACAAACCGGAGGAAGGUGGGGAUGACGUCAAAUCAUCAUGCCCCUUAUGACCUGGGCUACACACGUGCUACAAUGGAUGGUACAACGAGUUGCGAACUCGCGAGAGUAAGCUAAUCUCUUAAAGCCAUUCUCAGUUCGGAUUGUAGGCUGCAACUCGCCUACAUGAAGUCGGAAUCGCUAGUAAUCGCGGAUCAGCAUGCCGCGGUGAAUACGUUCCCGGGCC
rnacentral:rRNA from 2 species